rnacentral:rRNA from 1 species
CCUACGGGAGGCAGCAGUGGGGAAUAUUGGACAAUGGGGGCAACCCUGAUCCAGCCAUGCCGCGUGUGUGAAGAAGGCCCUCGGGUUGUAAAGCACUUUCAGUGAGGAAGAACGCCUGGUGGUUAAUACCCAUCAGGAAAGACAUCACUCACAGAAGAAGCACCGGCUAACUCCGUGCCAGCAGCCGCGGUAAUACGGAGGGUGCGAGCGUUAAUCGGAAUUACUGGGCGUAAAGCGCGCGUAGGUGGCUUGAUAAGCCGGUUGUGAAAGCCCCGGGCUCAACCUGGGAACGGCAUCCGGAACUGUCAAGCUAGAGUGCAGGAGAGGAAGGUAGAAUUACCGGUGUAGCGGUGAAAUGCGUAGAGAUCGGGAGGAAUACCAGUGGCGAAGGCGGCCUUCUGGACUGACACUGACACUGAGGUGCGAAAGCGUGGGUAGCAAACAGGAUUAGAUACCCCAGUAGUC